CAGUCGCCGCGGUAAAACGGAGGGUGCAAGCGUUAAUCGGAAUUACUGGGCGUAAAGCGCACGCAGGCGGUCUGACAAGUCAGAUGUGAAAUCCCCGGGCUUAACCUGGGAACUGCAUUUGAAACUGUCAGGCUGGAGUCUUGUAGAGGGGGGUAGAAUUCCAGGUGUAGCGGUAAAAUGCGUAGAGAUCUGGAGGAAUACCGGUGGCGAAGGCGGCCCCCUGGACAAAGACUGACGCUCAGGUGCGAAAGCGUGGGGAGCAAACAGGAUUAGAUACCCGUGUAGUCCCUGUCUCUUAUAC
rnacentral:rRNA from 1 species